GCCUGCUCUAACAGACACCUGCUGCCCAGAGCUCUUUAUCACGGGAGCAGGCUGCUUCUAGGAUGCCUUCCUGGAUCUUGGACUGGAGAAAAGCCCCCAUGCUCUCUCCUCAGAGUCCACUUUUCCUCCAGAGUGCUUUCUUUUCUUCUGUCUUAGGCUGUAGACAUGAUGGCUGAAACUUCAAUGCUGAGCAAUUUGAAGAAGAGGCAACCUUGAAGAUGAAAGCCACUUACUUACUGAUGGUGGCAGUACAGAAAAAGCAGAUGCCUGGGCUCCUGAAUGCUGUUCACCCCUAUGCCAUCCCUGCACCCUCUUUAGCUGCAUGAGAGGGAAAAUACCUGAUUUGAUGUAUUUUCACCAUGGUUCUUAUUAGAUGGUGUGGUGAGGCUCUCUAUUCUGCACUGAAUACUCUCUACAAGUCAUACAAUGAGAAAUAUGGUCAUCUGAGUAUGAACAAAUAUCUCCAAAGCUUUGGUUUCUUGACUAGAAUGGGAAACAACCACUUCUAAGGGGAAACUCCUGUGAAGGGGGAAAGCAAAAAUCCAGCCAUGGUGACCUCUGAGUGCAUUUUAGACAUACUAGCUCUGUUCCCCAUUUUCCAACAGAUUUAUA
rnacentral:lncRNA from 1 species